rnacentral:rRNA from 1 species
UACGUAGGGGGCAAGCGUUGUCCGGAUUUAUUGGGCGUAAAGAGCGUGUAGGCGGCUUGACAGGUCUGCUGUGAAAACUCGAGGCUCAACCUCGAGAUGUCGGCGGAAACCGUCUGGCUAGAGUCCGGAAGAGGAGAGUGGAAUUCCUGGUGUAGCGGUGAAAUGCGCAGAUAUCAGGAGGAACACCCGUGGCGAAAGCGGCUCUCUGGAACGGUACUGACGCUGAGACGCGAAAGCGUGGGGAGCGAACAGG